AUGGGUAGCCUGAUGCACUUCAGCUCUGAACUGUGCCCCUCCUUUAAGGCAUUCAGGAUCAGAACCCUUGGGUUGGGUCAAAGAACAAUUCAGGAACAGGGUUUGGUACUGCACAGACUUCAGCAUGUAAAAAGUGCUAACAAUUCAGCAGUGCCCUCAAACCAAAACACUUCCAGCUCUGCCCCACUGCCUGAGUUCCAUCUUAACAAAUACUCAGGCUUUGGACAAGCUGCAAACACAGGAAAAGAUAAGACAGAGGUGGGGUCUACAGGAAGCAGGAGCCAACGUGACAACAAUCUGACUCUGACAAGAAGGAAAGCAAAGAAAUAUUUUUAGGGAAACACUUUUUUUUUUAAAUUUCUUUUAAGGGCCACACUUGUGGCAUACGAAAGCUCCCAGGCUAGGGGUAGAAUCAGAGUUGCAGCUGCUGGGCUAUGCCACACAGCAACAUGCAACCUACGCUGCAACACCAGGUCCUUAACCCACUGAGCAAGGCCAGAAUUGAACUGUCAUUCUCAUGGAUACGAAUCGCAUGCUGAGCCACAACAGGAACUCCCACACCAAGAACUUUUAUGAGCUCAUUUGGGCAAAUCACGGCAUUUAAUCCUCCUAACAAAC
rnacentral:lncRNA from 1 species